AUUGAACGCUGGCGGCAGGCCUAACACAUGCAAGUCGAACGGUAACAGGAAGCAGCUUGCUGCUUUGCUGACGAGUGGCGGACGGGUGAGUAAUGUCUGGGAAACUGCCUGAUGUAGGGGGAUAACUACUGGAAACGGUAGCUAAUACCGCAUAACGUCGCAAGACCAAAGAGGGGGACCUUCGGGCCUCUUGCCAUCUGAUGUGCCCAGAUGGGAUUAGCUAGUAGGUGGGGUAACGGCUCACCCAGGCGACGAUCCCUAGCUGGUCUGAGAGGAUGACCAGCCACACUGGAACUGAGACACGGUCCAGACUCCUACGGGAGGCAGCAGUGGGGAAUAUUGCACAAUGGGCGCAAGCCUGAUGCAGCCAUGCCGCGUGUAUGAAGAAGGCCUUCGGGUUGUAAAGUACUUUCAGCGGGGAGGAAGGGAGUAAAGUUAAUACCUUGGCUCAUUGACGUUACCCGCAGAAGAAGCACCGGCUAACUCCGUG
rnacentral:rRNA from 1 species